GACGAACGCUGGCGGCGCGCUUAACACAUGCAAGUCGAACGGAAAGGCCUGCUUUCCCUUGUGGAUUGCGGGUACUCGAGUGGCGAACGGGUGAGUAACACGUGAGUGAUCUGCCCCCAACUUGGGUAUAAGCCUGGGAAACUGGGUCUAAUUCCCGAUAGGACUGCAGGGUGGUGCCUGUGGUGGAAAACGAUUUUCUAGUGGUUGGGGAUGAGCUCGCGGCCUAUCAGCUUGUUGGUGGGGUAAUGGCCUACCAAGGCGGCGACGGGUAGCCGGCCUGGGAGGGUGGACGGCCACAUUGGGACUGGGAUACGGCCCAGACUCCUACGGGAGGCAGCAGUGGGGAAGAUUGCACAAUGGGCGGAAGCCUGAUGCAGGGACGCCGCGUGGGGGAUGACGGCCUUCGGGUUGGAAACUCCUUUCGACAGCGAGGAAGCCACCUGGUUGGAAGGGUGGUGACGGUAGUGGUAGAAGAAGCACCGGCUAACUACGU
rnacentral:rRNA from 1 species